rnacentral:rRNA from 1 species
UGCAGUCGCACGAUGAUGCCCAGCUUGCUGGGUGGAUUAGUGGCGAACGGGUGAGUAACACGUGAGUAACCUGCCCCUGACUCUGGGAUAAGCGUUGGAAACGACGUCUAAUACUGGAUAUGAUCACCGGCCGCAUGGUCUGGUGGUGGAAAGAUUUUUUGGUUGGGGAUGGACUCGCGGCCUAUCAGCUUGUUGGUGAGGUAAUGGCUCACCAAGGCGACGACGGGUAGCCGGCCUGAGAGGGUGACCGGCCACACUGGGACUGAGACACGGCCCAGACUCCUACGGGAGGCAGCAGUGGGGAAUAUUGCACAAUGGGCGAAAGCCUGAUGCAGCAACGCCGCGUGAGGGAUGACGGCCUUCGGGUUGUAAACCUCUUUUAGUAGGGAAGAAGCGACUGAGUUUACUCUGAGUGACGGUACCUGCAGAAAAAGCACCGGCUAACUACGUGCCAGCAGCCGCGGUAAUACGUAGGGUGCAAGCGUUGUCCGGAAUUAUUGGGCGUAAAGAGCUCGUAGGCGGUUUGUCGCGUCUGCUGUGAAAUCCCGAGGCUCAACCUCGGGCUUGCAGUGGGUACGGGCAGACUAGAGUGCGGUAGGGGAGAUUGGAAUUCCUGGUGUAGCGGUGGAAUGCGCAGAUAUCAUGACGAACACCGAUUGCGAAGGCAGAUCUCUGGGCCGUAACUGACGCUUAGGAGCGAAAGCAUGGGGAGCGAACAGGAUUAGAUACCCUGGUAGUCCAUGCCGUAAACGUUGGG